AGGGGGGUAGAAUUCCAGGUGUAGCGGUGAAAUGCGUCGAGAUCUGGAGGACUACCGGUGGCGAAGGCGGCCCCCUGGACAAAUACUGACGCUCAGGUGCGAAAGCGUGGGGAGCAAACAGGAUUAGAUACCCUGGUAGUCCACGCCGUAAACUAUGUCGAUUUGGAGGUUGUGGCCUUGAGGCGUGUCUUCCGGAGCUAACGCGUUAAAUCGACCGCCUGGGGAGUACGGA
rnacentral:rRNA from 1 species